rnacentral:tRNA from 1 species
GGGGUUGUGGCUCAGUGGUAGAGUGCUUGCUUUGCAUGUGUGAGGCCCUGGGUUUGAUCCUCAGCACCCAUA